rnacentral:piRNA from 1 species
UAUUGUACCCUUAAGAUCAUUGUGCUGGU